rnacentral:hammerhead_ribozyme from 1 species
GUACUUCUGAGGAGUCCCACAAUAGGACGAAACGGCCGUCCAAUGC